CACGUAGGGGGCAAGCGUUGUCCGGAUUUAUUGGGCGUAAAGAGCUCGUAGGUGGUUCGGUAAGUCGGGUGUGAAACCUCCAGGCUCAACCUGGAGACGCCACCCGAUACUGCUGUGACUGGAGUCCGGUAGGGGAGCGUGGAAUUCCUGGUGUAGCGGUGAAAUGCGUAGAUAUCGGGAGGAACACCUGUGGCGAAAGCGGCUCACUGGACCACAACUGACGCUGAUGCGCGAAAGCUAGGGGAGCAAACAGG
rnacentral:rRNA from 1 species